rnacentral:rRNA from 1 species
CCUACGGGUGGCAGCAGUGGGGAAUAUUGGACAAUGGGGGGAACCCUGAUCCAGCCAUGCCGCGUGUGUGAAGAAGGCCCUCGGGUUGUAAAGCACUUUCAGUGAGGAAGAACGCCUGGUGGUUAAUACCCAUCAGGAAAGACAUCACUCACAGAAGAAGCACCGGCUAACUCCGUGCCAGCAGCCGCGGUAAUACGGAGGGGGCGAGCGUUAAUCGGAAUUACUGGGCGUAAAGCGCGCGUAGGUGGCUUGAUAAGCCGGUUGUGAAAGCCCCGGGCUCAACCUGGGAACGGCAUCCGGAACUGUCAAGCUAGAGUGCAGGAGAGGAAGGUAGAAUUCCCGGUGUAGCGGUGAAAUGCGUAGAGAUCGGGAGGAAUACCAGUGGCGAAGGCGGCCUUCUGGACUGACACUGACACUGAGGUGCGAAAGCGUGGGUAGCAAACAGGAUUAGAUACCCUUGUAGUC